rnacentral:snRNA from 1 species
UUCCCGAAUCAAUACAUCCGUUC